GAGUUUGAUCCUGGCUCAGGACGAACGCUGGCGGCGUGCUUAACACAUGCAAGUCGAACGGUGAUGUCAGAGCUUGCUCUGGCGGAUCAGUGGCGAACGGGUGAGUAACACGUGAGUAACCUGCCCCCGACUCUGGGAUAACUGCUAGAAAUGGUAGCUAAUACCGGAUAUGACGAUUGGCCGCAUGGUCUGGUCGUGGAAAGAAUUUCGGUUGGGGAUGGACUCGCGGCCUAUCAGGUUGUUGGUGAGGUAAUGGCUCACCAAGCCUACGACGGGUAGCCGGCCUGAGAGGGUGACCGGCCACACUGGGACUGAGACACGGCCCAGACUCCUACGGGAGGCAGCAGUGGGGAAUAUUGCACAAUGGGCGAAAGCCUGAUGCAGCAACGCCGCGUGAGGGAUGACGGCCUUCGGGUUGUAAACCUCUUUUAGUAGGGAAGAAGCGAAAGUGACGGUACCUGCA
rnacentral:rRNA from 1 species